GUUCAGGUCCUAUGCAAGGUACCGCUUCUGAACCCCGUCAGAUCCGGAAGGAAGCAGCGGCAGGAAGAUGGCACUUGUGCCGUAGUGUACCUGAGCUCU
rnacentral:SRP_RNA from 1 species